UCAAGAGGGUCUAACCCAAAGUCUAGUACAGUCAAUGGGAGUCUUUCCAUUGACUUCAGUGGGCUUUGGAUCAGGCCUAGAGAGA
rnacentral:pre_miRNA from 1 species